CGGCGAGCCAACCCUUACAGGCGUGGCUGCAGCGUCAUUACCCAGUGUGCCAGGAUUUUCCAUUAAUUAGGAUCCAUUUCUUCCUCUCUAAGUUAAUUAGGAUCCAGUUUUCAGUGGAAGGGGAGAUUUGAAAUGGAGAUUAAAAAAAAAAAAAGUGAAAAGAGUUAGAGAGAGAGAGAGAGAGAGAUUAUGCACAUUUACUGGGUUAGAUUUUUGUCUUUC
rnacentral:lncRNA from 1 species